rnacentral:tRNA from 1 species
GCUUUCCUGUGGCUCAGUUGGUAAAGCGUUGCGCUAACAGUGCAAAGGUUUUGGGUUCAUAUCCCAGGGAAGCC